rnacentral:tRNA from 1 species
GCCCGGGUGGCUUAGCUGGACAUAGCGCCGCACUCAUAGGGUUUCACAAUCGGUGCGGAACGCCUUGGAAGCCUCCGCCCCCCGCGAGGUCAUGCCGGCCUCGCACCUGGGACAUGCGGAGAUCGUGGGUUCGGAGCCCACCCCGGGCA